GAAAUGAGGCCAUUUGAUUUGCUAAGUGUGAAGUCCUCAAUUAUGUGUUGCGUAUGAUGGCCUAUGGGCAUGUUGUGUAUGAGUUAUCUAUCUUGUGUUACUUUAUGCUAUUGUGUGCUGGGGGUAUGUAUGCCCGAAAUAGUCUGCUGGUCUAGAGCCGAGUCAGUUUCACGGUAAUCUCAAUCGAGCGAUGAACAAUGAACUCCCA
rnacentral:lncRNA from 1 species